CUAUAUAACAGCUGACUGGUAUAUAGAAGUUGACCAGUGAAAAGAAAAAGAGAGAGAAGAUGGCAAGGAACAAGGACAUCACAUUUGAUGAUGCUAUGAGAGUUGUGGAUGAGCUUGCAAGAGAAAUAAAACAUCAUAGACAUGGCCUGAACAGAGUCCAGGUACUCAAGGCUGGCUCCCUUGGUCAGUACACAGCCAUUCCAGGCAACUUCGAUGUGGACCUGGUGGUCUAUUCAGAGAGUGAGUUAAUACUGAAUUAUAGCUAUCUUAUACUAUAGAGGCUGCGUGCCAGAGGUAUAUAAAUAACGCAUCUUGAUUGUCCUGACAAGUUGUCUUAGCAUAAUACGUUUUCUUCUGCCAUCAUUAGUUGGACACCAACAGUUACCCAUGCAAUGUCCUUAAGGUUUUAGGAAAGGUAAGGUAAUUUAAUGCGGCUUAGCUCAUAACAUAAGCUUUUCUAGUCGUCUUGUCACUCCGAUACAUAUAAUAUAGCUACAUAAUUAUAAUUAAGCCUGCUCUUGCACAAUGAACGAAGAAACAUGGCUGAUAUGAGAUAAUUACUUUAGUGCGCGUGAAUGCGCAUCAUAUAAUUAUUAUGACUUCACUCUUUGCAUGCUAGGACCCUGAUAAGUGGACACUGUGAUAAAUGGACACUAUGAUAAAUGGCCGAUUAAAAUAGGUUAAUUGCUCGGAAAAUGACCGAUGACCGAAUGUUAUUUAUAUAUACCUCUGCAUGAUACAACCUUUUUGGAACAGCAUGAGAUACUCUUCAUAUACAUGUAAAACGUGUGGAUCCAGACACUGUCCUUAGUGAAGGAUAUCGUACGCCUCUACACAAACUGCGAAGCUUUUUGGGAGGUCUACGGACUGUCAAGCUUCAACCACCACUAAAUAUGUCUGUGUCACUGAAAUACAAGACAUAUAUAUGACCAGCAAGAUCGAGAGCUAUCGAUAGACGUUGACGUCUUGGUCAGCCCUAAAUGGGAGAAUCCAGUAGAUCUCUAUGACUAUCUGAGGAAAGCCAAACAAGAGGGAGCAAAACCUGCCCAACUAUUCCGGUUCUCAGUGAAUGCUUCAAAAUGGCAGGUUGCAUUUAUUGAAAAGCAGGAUGAUAAAGCUAAAGAACUUAUUCGCCGUGCUAAGGCGUGGAGGAACAAAGAAUGGCCUGAGGGGAAGUUAUGAACUGGAAGGCCAAAGAGUUAUCUCAUCUCAAUUCUGGUGCUUAAAGCUUAUGAGCUGGCAUUGAAACAGCACUAUGGUAGAACCAUUGAGCAAAGAACAACAGCCACUUUGAAGCAGAUAGUGAAAUCUCACCUACCAGCGGACACACAGUAUCUAUUGGGUUGACUACUACAAACCAGGGGACUACCCAGACUUGUUUCCAGCCAGGCUCCCCCGUAUCGUUAACCCUGCCAACCCGGCCAACAACCUCCACAACACAGGCAUAAUCGGAGGCAGCUCUUACACCUCACACUCGUACUACGAGCAGGGAGACGGCAAUUGGACGCAGCUGGUUGCAAAAAUUGAGUCUGUCGAUUUGACCAAAACUAUUGAACAGAUACAAGCCUAAAAUACGCUUGCUUUUUUAAAUCACCAUGCAGAGACUUAGCUAUAACAAAGCACCUUUUUGUAUUGUGUAUGCAUGUACGGUACAUGUUGACAUUAGCCGUACAGUCAGUUAGUGCACGUUAACCUGACCUUUGAACUGUAUGACUAUUUUGGUAGUGACUGUCCAGAGCU